GUCUGGAGCAUCUUUCUCGGCAUCAUUAUUCGGUGAAGCAAUAACAACAGAGGCAUCACAUCCCUACAAAUCAACGCAGAGGAAAUAAUAACAAGCUUUCAAUCAUCCCCAUGAUCACGAUCACAAGUAAAUUCCUGCUUGCUUACUUUCUGUUGUACAACUUAGUAAGUUACUUGGAAAAUCUUGAUUUCUUGCUGCCGUAAAGUAACUGCUUAUUGAUUUUUCUAUCGUAGGCCACCCUUAUUGACUUGGUUUAGCUUUUACAUAAAAAAAUGGGUUGUGAAAAUUAUGAUUCUCAGGAAAAAUGGACCGCGCGAUGGUUCAAUGGGUUCAAGCAAGAUUCUGUUUGAUGCGCGCAGAAAGGUGUUUGGUACCAAA